rnacentral:rRNA from 1 species
UAACAGGAAGCAGCUUGCUGUUUCGCUGACGAGUGGCGGACGGGUGAGUAAUGUCUGGGAAACUGCCUGAUGGAGGGGGAUAACUACUGGAAACGGUAGCUAAUACCGCAUAACGUCGCAAGACCAAAGAGGGGGACCUUCGGGCCUCUUGCCAUCGGAUGUGCCCAGAUGGGAUUAGCUAGUAGGUGGGGUAACGGCUCACCUAGGCGACGAUCCCUAGCUGGUCUGAGAGGAUGACCAGCCACACUGGAACUGAGACACGGUCCAGACUCCUACGGGAGGCAGCAGUGGGGAAUAUUGCACAAUGGGCGCAAGCCUGAUGCAGCCAUGCCGCGUGUAUGAAGAAGGCCUUCGGGUUGUAAAGUACUUUCAGCGGGGAGGAA